rnacentral:rRNA from 1 species
CCUACGGGAGGCAGCAGUGAGGAAUAUUGGACAAUGGGCGCAAGCCUGAUCCAGCCAUGCCGCGUGCAGGAAGAAGCAUCUAUGGUGUGUAAACUGCUUUUGUACAGGAAGAAACACUCCCUCGUGAGGGAGCUUGACGGUACUGUAAGAAUAAGGACCGGCUAACUCCGUGCCAGCAGCCGCGGUAAUACGGAGGGUCCGAGCGUUAUCCGGAAUCAUUGGGUUUAAAGGGUCCGUAGGCGGUUUAAUAAGUCAGUGGUGAAAUCUGGUCGCUCAACGAUCAAACGGCCAUUGAUACUGUUAGACUUGAAUUAUAAGGAAGUAACUAGAAUAUGUAGUGUAGCGGUGAAAUGCUUAGAUAUUACAUGGAAUACCAAUUGCGAAGGCAGGUUACUACUUAUGGAUUGACGCUGAUGGACGAAAGCGUGGGGAGCGAACAGGAUUAGAUACCCUGGUAGUCCACGCCGUAAACGAUGGAUACUAGCUGUUCGGAGCAAUCUGNGUGNGUAGACGAAGUAGAGUAAGUAUACCACCGUACGGGUAGGUACGGUUACGUACGAAGAAGUAGAAACGUACGAAACGUAAGUUAGUACGGACGUGAGACGUAGACCGACGGACGACGACGGAGGGAGGAGG